rnacentral:rRNA from 1 species
AACGUAGGUGGCGAGCGUUAUCCGGAUUUACUGGGCGUAAAGCGUGUGCAGGCGGGGCUCCAAGUGGUGUAUGAAAUUUCCCAGCUUAACUGGGAGAGGUUAUGCCAGACUGGAGUUCUAGAGUGCGAGAGAGGGGCGUGGAAUUCCGGGUGUAGUGGUGAAAUGCGUAGAGAUCCGGAAGAACCCCAGAGGCGAAGGCGGCGCCCUGGCUCGCAACUGACGCUCAGACACGACAGCAUGGGGAGCGAACGGG